rnacentral:lncRNA from 1 species
AAGGACAAAAAAGUUGGUGAAAAGUCUUGAGUCCAUAUGUUUAAAAAUCAGUUGAAAAAACUGGGGAUAUUUAACCCAAGGUAGAAACAGUUUAUGGAAGACAUGUUAACUUUCGAGUUUUGAAAAGCUGAACAUUCUUAGGGAAAAUAUUUGUUCUAUUUGGCCCCAGUCAGCAGAUCUAGAAACACUGUUUAGGUGCUUCAAAGGGUUUCAGAUGAGUAUAUGGAACAUCUUCAGAGCAAAUCAACUAUCCAAAAGUGGAAAGAGCUGCUUCCAAAAGUAGUACGUUUCUCAGCCUUAGUCUUCAAGCAAAGGCUUGAUGGCAACGUUCUCUAAUGGAUGGAAGACAUAAUAUUCUUCAGUAUAAAGGUCCAUAUAACCUUGACCACCUUGGUAGGAUUAUGAGACCAUAAAUUAUCUGAAUGAUCAAGUUUAUAUACUCAUCCCAGAUUGCUACCACCAGGACAUCCUUGAGCUAAUUCUGGAAAAAGUCAUACAGCCUGAGUUCAUUUAUCACAUUUGCCUACUCACUUUGCUGUACUAUAUUCACCAUCAUGCCUAUAAUGGAUUGGGUUUCGACUUUCUUAAUUAGAUGGGAACCUCAAGUUAGAACUGUGAAUGAAAGUUGACUUUUGUUUCCAGUUUCUCUUUUCUACCAUCAAAGAGACAACUAUCCUUCUGAAUAGCAAUUAGUCCACAAUAUCUAAGCAAUGGUCUGACUUUCAUUUUAAUGACUUGAAGUAUGUGCAGGUGUUCAUAUUCCUGCAAUUUCCUAAUACCUUUUUCAUAGUUUUCACACAUGGACACUCCGAUAGAUCAAUGAUUUCCUCAAUGUGAACAUACAUGAAAGUACAUCCAUCACAACUCCUUCAACUAAAAUAUCCUCCUAUUGGUCUCUGCCUUCUGAAAUCCUACCCAUCUUUCAAGGACCAGAUCAAAUGCCACCUUCUUUGAGAUUUCAUGAGUCACUUAUCCACUGUUUACCUCAGUUUCUUCAUCUAUAAAUUGGGGAUAAUAUCAAUAUCUAACUCCCAUGGUUGCUGUAAGAAUCAAAUAAGAUAUUUGUAAGGUGUUUUGCAAACCUUAAAGAAUCUUGUAAACGUUAUUAUUAUUCUUAUUAUCUCAUAUGACCCCUUUCAUGUGAAAGUACUCUUCAGUGAUCCAGGUUGCAAUCCAUCUUUCCCUAUCCGACCUUUGCAAUUCUUGGCCAUAAUGAAGAAACUAUGAUCAUCACAGAAUGACCUCCAGGCUCCUGGGUACCAUUUUUGAUUACCCCCAACAUCAAAAACAGAGCUGCUGUCUCCAAGUUUCACUUGUUCUCAUUAGUUGACCAGUC